rnacentral:rRNA from 1 species
ACAAUGACUCUCGGCAACGGAUAUCUCGGCUCUCGCAUCGAUGAAGAACGUAGCGAAAUGCGAUACUUGGUGUGAAUUGCAGAUUCCCGUGAACCAUCGAGUCUUUGAACGCAAGUUGCGCCCGAAGCCAUUAGGCCGAGGGCACGUCUGGCUGGGUGUCACAC